AAAAUGGACCCGUGUGGAUAGAGAAGGGAGCAGCUGAAAUUCUCAGCCUCUGAUAGGUCCCACCCUAGGAAACCAACUAACCACCCUAAGAUGCAGCACAGUGAAACGUGGGGAUUAUCGGAUGCACGGAUGGGAAGCAGCGCAAAGAUGACAUCUCCAACCAAGGCAAGCAGCACUGUACUUGGGAGCAGGGCAGUGGACACAGGGAGGGCUCAAGGUCAAUUCACUGAAAGAACUCAUACUCGUAGCAGCGGACCCACAGAAUCAAAGCUCCUUCUGGUCCCCAUAGGCUCCUGUGGGCGCUUGAUUAACAGAGAUGGGAGCCCUCGCCACCACCUGCACCCAGGAACUGAAUCAUGAGUCUUUUGAAGAUAACCUCACAUCCGAGAAACAGGAUGUAAAUUGUCUGAAGAUCUAUUUAUUCAUUCAUCAAAUACAGGUGCAUUAGAGUACCUGCCUUCUCCCAGGUGCUAUGGCAGACACCCUCCUGGCAGGGUGACAGGACCAUUAUGAACAGCCAGUGAAAGGACAGCAGGGUUCUGGAGGAGACUGUCUGGCUCUGGCAUGUAUGUCCCUUAGUCCCCAUGUCUUAGCCUCUGCUGGAGGUUGGAUUAAG